rnacentral:lncRNA from 1 species
GUGAUAAUAAAGAUAUCAACACUGACUAUUUUACACAUGUUUAUCUGUUUUCUUGCAGAUCUUGUUAAAGCAGUAUUUUUAAUUCUGAAUACAUGUCAAAGAUAGGUGAAGAAUAAGAUCUUGUCUUCUUUGUCACUGAAAAAGAAUUAAGAAAAACCCUUUGGCUGCCCCUUAAUCUACUGCUAUUUCAGCCAGCAAUUGCAACUUUGCAGUUACCAGGCUGCUUCUCUGCCAGCAGCCUGACUACUCAGGCUGCACCCUGGAGGGAAUUCUGUUCCUGAGCCUGCAGAGACGAGGAUGGAGAAGAAGAUACCAAACAGCAGGGUGCCACCACAAAAAUGCUAACGGCAAAGAGAUUAUUUAUUAUUCUAAGAACCAUGGUAUACCAAAAAUAAUUUUC